rnacentral:piRNA from 1 species
UGCAAAUAAAGGCAUUAAAUAGAUGUACCACU